AACGAACGCUGGCGGCAGGCCUAACACAUGCAAGUCGAGCGAAGCCUUCGGGCUUAGCGGCGGACGGGUGAGUAACGCGUGGGAACGUGCCCUUUGGUACGGAAUAGCCCCGGGAAACUGGGAGUAAUACCGUAUGUGGUCGAGAGACGAAAGAUUUAUCGCCAAAGGAUCGGCCCGCGUUGGAUUAGGUAGUUGGUGGGGUAAUGGCCUACCAAGCCGACGAUCCAUAGCUGGUUUGAGAGGAUGAUCAGCCACACUGGGACUGAGACACGGCCCAGACUCCUACGGGAGGCAGCAGUGGGGAAUCUUAGACAAUGGGGGAAGCCUGAUCUAGCCAUGCCGCGUGAUCGAUGAAGGCCUUAGGGUUGUAAAGAUCUUUCAGGUGGGAAGAUAAUGACUGUACCACCAGAAGAAGCCCCGGCUAACUCCGUGCCAGCCGCCGCGGUAAUAC
rnacentral:rRNA from 1 species